rnacentral:rRNA from 1 species
GACGAACGCUGGCGGCGUGCUUAACACAUGCAAGUCGAACGGAAAGGCCCUGCUUUUGUGGGGUGCUCGAGUGGCGAACGGGUGAGUAACACGUGAGUAACCUGCCCUUGACUUUGGGAUAACUUCAGGAAACUGGGGCUAAUACCGGAUAGGAGCUCCUGCUGCAUGGUGGGGGUUGGAAAGUUUCGGCGGUUGGGGAUGGACUCGCGGCUUAUCAGCUUGUUGGUGGGGUAGUGGCUUACCAAGGCUUUGACGGGUAGCCGGCCUGAGAGGGUGACCGGCCACAUUGGGACUGAGAUACGGCCCAGACUCCUACGGGAGGCAGCAGUGGGGAAUAUUGCACAAUGGGCGGAAGCCUGAUGCAGCAACGCCGCGUGCGGGAUGACGGCCUUCGGGUUGUAAACCGCUUUCGCCUGUGACGAAGCGUGAGUGACGGUAAUGGGUAAAGAAGCACCGGCUAACUACGUGCCAGCAGCCGCGGUGAUACGUAGGGUGCGAGCGUUGUCCGGAUUUAUUGGGCGUAAAGGGCUCGUAGGUGGUUGAUCGCGUCGGAAGUGUAAUCUUGGGGCUUAACCCUGAGCGUGCUUUCGAUACGGGUUGACUUGAGGAAGGUAGGGGAGAAUGGAAUUCCUGGUGGAGCGGUGGAAUGCGCAGAUAUCAGGAGGAACACCAGUGGCGAAGGCGGUUCUCUGGGCCUUCCCUGACGCUGAGGAGCGAAAGCGUGGGGAGCGAACAGGCUUAGAUACCCUGGUAGUCCACGCUGUAAACGGUGGGUACUAGGUGUGGGGUCCACUCCACGGGUUCCGUGCCGUAGCUAACGCUUUAAGUACCCCGCCUGGGGAGUACGGCCGCAAGGCUAAAACUCAAAGGAAUUGACGGGGCCCCGCACAAGCGGCGGAGCAUGCGGAUUAAUUCGAUGCAACGCGUAGAACCUUACCUGGGUUUGACAUGGAUCGGGAGCGCUCAGAGAUGGGUGUGCCUCUUUUGGGGUCGGUUCACAGGUGGUGCAUGGCUGUCGUCAGCUCGUGUCGUGAGAUGUUGGGUUAAGUCCCGCAACGAGCGCAACCCUUGUUCACUGUUGCCAGCACGUUAUGGUGGGGACUCAGUGGAGACCGCCGGGGUCAACUCGGAGGAAGGUGGGGAUGACGUCAAGUCAUCAUGCCCCUUAUGUCCAGGGCUUCACGCAUGCUACAAUGGCUGGUACAGAGAGUGGCGAGCCUGUGAGGGUGAGCGAAUCUCGGAAAGCCGGUCUCAGUUCGGAUUGGGGUCUGCAACUCGACCUCAUGAAGUCGGAGUCGCUAGUAAUCGCAGAUCAGCAACGCUGCGGUGAAUACGUUCCCGGGGCU